rnacentral:rRNA from 1 species
GGAAUUUUGCGCAAUGGGCGGAAGCCUGACGCAGCAACGCCGCGUGGAGGAAGAAGGCCCUCGGGUCGUAAACUCCUGUCCAUGGGGAAGAUGGUGACGGUACCCUUGGAGGAAGCCCCGGCUAACUCCGUGCCAGCAGCCGCGGUAAUACGAAGGGGGCGAGCGUUAUUCGGAAUUAUUGGGCGUAAAGGGCGCGUAGGCGGCUUGGCAAGUCAGGGGUGAAAUCCCUCGGCUCAACCGAGGAACUGCCUCUGAAACUGCCUGGCUUGAGGCCGGGAGAGGGUAGUGGAAUUCCCAGUGUAGCGGUGAAAUGCGUAGAUAUUGGGAGGAACACCGGUGGCGAAGGCGGCUACCUGGACCGGUUCUGACGCUGAGGCGCGAAAGUGUGGGGAGCA